UAGCAACAACUUAUGUCAUCACUUGCC
rnacentral:piRNA from 1 species